GUGAUAUACAACGCCCAAGAAACAUCAAAGCUUGAUCCAAAAUCAAGAAAAUGUGUUUUCUUGGGGUAUGCUGAUGGAGUGAAGGGGUAUCGCCUGUGGGAUCCCACUGCCCACAAGGUUAUCAUCAGCAGGGAUGUUCUAUUUGUAAAAGGGAAGCUACAAAGAGGAAAAGG